AGUGACUUUCCACAGAGAUGGUAAUGGAAGCAUCUAGAGGCAGGAUGUAAAAUGGCAAAAUGUCUAUCUAACUCCAAAGGUUCUUAGGGAAAUUAAAAAGAAGUCUGGGCAUGCCUUUCCUCUAAGUGGGGAGCUGUGGAGGAGACAUGGCUUAGCAUCGAAGGGAUGGUACCCUGCCCUCUCACAAUGACUCAGCUCUUUCCUCUCGGG